rnacentral:rRNA from 1 species
CCUACGGGGGGCAGCAGUGGGGAAUAUUGCACAAUGGGGGAAACCCUGAUGCAGCGACGCCGCGUGGGGGAUGACGGCCUUCGGGUUGUAAACCUCUUUCAGUAGGGAAGAAGCGAAAGUGACGGUACCUGCAGAAGAAGUACCGGCUAACUACGUGCCAGCAGCCGCGGUAAUACGUAGGGUACUAGCGUUGUCCGGAAUUAUUGGGCGUAAAGAGCUCGUAGGUGGUUUGUCGCGUCUGCUGUGGAAACGUGCCGCUUAACGGUGCGCGUGCAGUGGGUACGGGCGGACUAGAGUGCAGUAGGGGAGUCUGGAAUUCCUGGUGUAGCGGUGAAAUGCGCAGAUAUCAGGAGGAACACCGGUGGCGAAGGCGGGACUCUGGGCUGUUACUGACGCUGAGGAGCGAAAGCAUGGGGAGCGAACAGGAUUAGAUACCCUAGUAGUC